ACGCGACGGGGUAUUGUAAGUGGC
rnacentral:ncRNA from 2 species